GCCGGUGUGGCGCAAUUGGCUGACGCGAUCGACUCAAAAUCGAUUGGGUUUCACACCCGUGUGGGUUCGAGUCCCACCACCGGCA
rnacentral:tRNA from 1 species